AGAUGCAGAAUUUAAUGCGUUUGUAGCACUCAUAAGCAUUUCGAAUCUCUUCUUGGUUUCUUCUCCGUCGGUGAAUUUCAUCCUGAGAUAGCGGCGGAGCAGCGUUGCUCUGCUGGAAAGUUAGCGCCGAAUGCUGUUGAGGCAGCGGCGGCGGUGGUUGCGGUGGAGGAGGAGGAGGCGGUGACUGAGGCAGCGGUGGAGGUGGUUCGUAAAGCUUCCGUUU
rnacentral:misc_RNA from 1 species